rnacentral:lncRNA from 1 species
GAUGUUUUUGAUUAAAAUCUGUAAAUGAUUUUUUGAACGUUGCUGAAGUAAUCGAUUAUGGAUUUGGUAUAAUCGAUUAUCUGAAUUUGAAUUUUCCAGUAAUCGAUUAUGGAUUGUAAGUAAUCGAUUAUUAAGCGUAAAAUAUGGGAUUGAUUUUUUAUCUGACUGGCAGAUAAUCGAUUGUUUGGUCUUGACAAUAGAUUGUCACUGAGUAAAUUCAGCAAUUCUUAAUUGGCAAUUAGACAACGGUAAGACCAAGU